rnacentral:rRNA from 1 species
CGUACACUCCUGCGGGAGGCAGCAGUGGGGAAUAUUGGACAAUGGGCGCAAGCCUGAUCCAGCCAUGCCGCGUGAGUGAUGAAGGCCCUAGGGUUGUAAAGCUCUUUCACCGGAGAAGAUAAUGACGGUAUCCGGAGAAGAAGCCCCGGCUAACUUCGUGCCAGCAGCCGCGGUAAUACGAAGGGGGCUAGCGUUGUUCGGAAUUACUGGGCGUAAAGCGCACGUAGGCGGAUCGAUCAGUCAGGGGUGAAAUCCCAGGGCUCAACCCUGGAACUGCCUUUGAUACUGUCGAUCUGGAGUAUGGAAGAGGUGAGUGGAAUUCCGAGUGUAGAGGUGAAAUUCGUAGAUAUUCGGAGGAACACCAGUGGCGAAGGCGGCUCACUGGUCCAUUACUGACGCUGAGGUGCGAAAGCGUGGGGAGCAAACAGGAUUAGAUACCCCGUGUAGUCCCAUGAU